GUGAAUCAUCGAAUCUUUGAACGCAUAUUGCACUCUCUGGUAUUCCGGAGAGUAUGCCUGUUUGAGGGUAAUUAAACAGCAUAUUUCACCAAUUUUUUUGGUCAAAGGAAAUGAGUUCUCCGCGUUUAUAGCGGUAGCUUGAAAUAAAUGGCCAAGUCUCAUUUUAGUCGAGACGCGUAAUAAUAUUAUUUAGCGAAAUCCUCAUUAUGUGACUAUCAAGAUUUUAUGCCUACAA
rnacentral:misc_RNA from 1 species